GAUGAAGAACGUAGUGAAAUGCGAUAAGUAAUGUGAAUUGCAGAAUUCAGUGAAUCAUCGAAUCUUUGAACGCACAUUGCGCCCCCUGGUAUUCCGGGGGGCAUGCCUGUCCGAGCGUCAUUGCAACCCUCAAGCGCGGCUUGUGUGUUGGGCUUCGUCCCCCCGUGGACGUGCCCGAAAGGCAGUGGCGGCGUCCCGAAUGGUGCCCGAGCGUAUGGGAACUCUCUUCCGCUCGAACCGGCCCAUUCGGCGCUGGUCGAACCCCAAUUUUUUUUUACCGGUUGACCUCGGAUCAGGUAGGGAUACCCGCUGAACUUAAGCAUAUCAAUAAGCGGAGGA
rnacentral:misc_RNA from 1 species